AUGGGGGGGCUGCAAUGGGGAGGGCUGAUAUAUCCCAAAGGGGCCCUGAAUGGGUUAUGGGGGGGCACGAGGGCACAGCUGGCAGCCUAUAGGUGUGUGUAUGGACAUAGGGCUGAUGUUUGCACACUGUGUGUCCCUGUGCCCUAUAGCUGUGUUAGGUGUGCUCUGCUCACAUCCAUACCCCUUCCUGAGCCCUAUUCAGUGCCAUACCCCUGCACCCACAACCCAUAUCCACAUAUCCACAUCCCAUAUCCCAUAUCCAUAUAUCCACAUCCCAUAUCCCAUAUCCACAUCCCAUAUCCCAUAUCCAUAUAUACACAACCCGUAUCCACAUCCCUCCCUGUACUCACAACUAAUAUCCACAUCCCAUAUCCACAUAUCCACAUACCCACAACCCAUAUCCACAGCCCUCCCCAUAUCCACACCCCAUAUCCCAUAUCCACAUAUCCACAUCCCACAUCCCAUAUCCCAUAUCCUAUAUCCACAUCCCAUAUCCCAUAUCCAUAUAUCCAUAUCCCAUAUCCCAUAUCCCAUAUCCACAUCCGAUAUCCCAUAUCCACAUCCCAUAUCCAUAUAUCCACAACCCAUAUCCACAGCCCUCCCUGCACCCACAUCCCAUAUCCAUAUAUCCACAUGCCAUAUCCCAUAUCCACAUUUCCACAUCCCAUAUCCACAUCCCAUAUCCACAUAUCCACAUCCCAUAUCCCAUAUCCAUAUAUCCACAUCCCAUAUCCCAUAUGCAUAUAUCCACAUCCCAUAUCCAUAUAUCCACAUCCCAUAUCCACAUAUCCAUAUAUUCACAUCCCACAACCUAUAUCCACAGCCCUCCCUGCACCCACAUCCCAUAUCCCAUAUCCAUAUAUCCACAUCCCAUAUCCACAUAUCCACUUCCCAUAUCCCAUAUCCAUAUAUCCAUAUCCCAUAUCCCAUAUCCAUACAUCCACAUCCCAUAUCCAUAUAUCCACAUCCCAUAUCCACAUAUCCAUAUAUCCACAUCCCAUAUUCCAUAUCCAUAUAUCCACAUCCCACAUCCCAUAUCCACAUAUCUACAUCCCAUAUCCCAUAUCCAUAUAUCCACAACCCAGAUCCACAGCCCUCCCUGCACCCACAUCCCAUAUCCCAUAUCCAUAUACCCACAUCCCAUAUCCAUAUAUCCACAUCCCAUAUCCCAUAUCCCAUAUCCACAUCCCAUAUCCACAUCCCAUAUCCCAUAUCCAUAUAUCCACAUCC
rnacentral:lncRNA from 1 species